AUACUCACUAAAGCAUGUCUAAAAAAGUACUCUAACGCAAAUAAAUAAAUGCUACUAAAUCCGAAUUGAUAUCCAAAUCCGGGUAAAAUUCAUCCAAACCUCGACGAAAAAGCCAGGCAGAAUCACGAGGUAUCGUGAAAUUCCCAUCGCCCUCCUGCUCCUCGCCAAAUCGACGAGACGCCGACGAGAGAUCCGACUACCUCGCGCUCCGACACGCCAACGCGUAGAUCUGGUAGAAUAGGUGGCGGUGGGCUCGGACGUGCAGUGGUAGUCUCUUCUGCAGUGGCAGCGGCGGAGGAGACGGGGGAGCGAGCAGUCGCCGCGGCGUGGGUCUGUUGUGUGCUGGGACUCGGGUUCCGUGAAACCCUAGACGCCGCGGGAUGGCGUCGUAUAGGCCGUACGCGCCGCCGCCGCAGCAUCCGCCGCCGCCGCCGCCACCACCGCAGGGCGGCUAUCCGCCGCAGAUGAAUUCGUACGCGCCGCCGCCGCAGCAGGCGCCGUACAGCAGGAUGCCGGCGCCGACAUACCACGCGGGGCCUCCGCCACCACCGCCACCGGGGCCGCCGCCACCUCACCAACCGCAGUUCAAUUUCGGUCCCGGGCCUCCGCAGCAGCUCCCGCCCCCGCCCCCACCGCAGAUGUACUACCAGCCGCCGCCACCGCCCUACGGCGGGAACAGUAAUCCGCCUCCUCCACCUUCGGCGCCACCCCCGCCUCCGUCCCCACCCCCUGCGGCAUCGCCCCCGCCCCCUCCGCCUCCGGCACAGCCACCGUCUGCCCAUGCCCUGCUGCCCCCAAAGGGGCCACAGCCUAAGGCAACGCUGCUGAGAGCGGAGACGGAAGAGGAGCGUCGUGCGCGGAAGAAGCGCGAGUUUGAGAAGCAGCGGGUGGACGACCGCAAGCAGCACCAGAUGAUGCGCCAGACACAAGCCACCAUUCUGCAGAAGACACAGCAGGUUCGCACUGCUCAGCAGCAGCCGCAGAGCCGCCACCACCACCACCACCCUCCGGGUGGCUCUCGGGCAGGGGCAACUGGGUCUCGCCCAGCAACAGCGGUUAAUGCUGAGAGGUUUGAGAACCGGCUAAAAAAACCAACAACGUUCCUCUGCAAGCACAAAUUUAGGAAUGAACUCCCGGAUCCAAGUGCUCAGCUGAAAUGGCUGCCCCUGAAUAAGGAUAAGGACCGAUAUACCAAAUACAGGAUAACUUCAUUGGAGAAAAACUAUAUUCCUAAAAUGAUUGUCCCUGAGGAUAUUGGGAUACCUCUUGACCUACUUGACAUGAGUGUAUACAACCCCCCGGAUGUUCAGCCGCCCAUGGCUCCUGAAGAUGAAGAACUAUUGCGUGAUGAUCAGGUCCUCACCCCUAUUAAACAAGAAGGUACAAGGAAAAGGGAGAGGCCCACUGACAAAGGUGUUUCUUGGUUGGUCAAAACACAAUACAUAUCUCCACUAAGUGCUGAUGCAGCCAAAACGUCCCUUACUGAGAAGCAAGCAAAGGAAAGGCGGGAAUCAAGGGGGGGUCGCAAUGCUUUCCUAGACAAUCUUAAUGAUAGAGAGAAACAGAUCAAAGCCAUUGAAGAAUCCUUUAGAGCAGCCAAGUCAAGGCCUGUUCACCAGACUAAACGUGGGAUGCAAGCUGAGUGGGUUAUGCCUUUGCUACCUGAUUUUGAUAGGUACGAGGAGCCGUUUGUUAUGGUGAAUUUUGAUGGCGAUCCAACUGCUGAUUCUGAGCAGUACAACAAACUUGAGAGACCCGUACGUGAUGAAUGUGAAUCUCGGGCCGUGAUGAAAAGUUUUAGUGUAAGUGGUUCAGACCCUUCAAAACAAGAGAAGUUUUUGGCAUACAUGGCCCCAGCACCCCAUGAGCUUACCAGAGACUUGGAUGAUGAAAACGAUGACAUCCAGUAUUCCUGGCUAAGAGAAUAUCACUGGGAAGUAAGAGGAGAUGAUAAAGACGAUCCUACAACAUACCUUGUCACAUUUGAUAAGAAGGAUGGUGCAAAAUAUUUGGUUACGUCCUUCUCGCGACCCUCUGGCUGGGCCGUUGCAGAGUGGGCGGUGACGGCCCGCUAGUGAUGGGGGCUAGGGUUCAGGGAUUUUCUCGGCCGGGACCAUGUUUCGGUCUCUUCUUAAUAUAAUACCAGGAGGACGGUCUUUCCCUCUUCGGACGAGUAUUACAUUUGGUUUCUGUGAAUGGUUCAUUUCACAUUAGUGUAACAUAUGUCAUGAUCUUUAUUUCAGCCUCUUCCUACCAAGCUAGUUUUGCAGAAGAAAAAGGCAAAGGAGGGGAGGUCUGGAGAUGAAAUCGAACAUUUUCCAGUACCUUCCCGUAUCACUGUGAGUAAAACAGCUCAUGGUGGUACCAUGGAGCGCGGAGAAUCUUCUGGCAUGCAUGCGAAUUCAAAGCCACGAAGAUCUCAUGUUGAUGAUGAUCUUGAUGAGCAUCCAAAGCGUACUCGGGUAGAAGAUAUUGACCAAUAUAGUGAAGAAUAUUCUGAGUGAUGAACUGAUAAAUCAUAAUUAUCUUGCACCAACGAAUUUGAUCAGUACAUGUGAAGCCGUCAAGGCAUAAGUGGUUUUAUGGUGCAUGGUGAUGCAGUGAAAGAGAAUACCUGGCAGUGGGAGGACAUCAUGGCUUGGCCAGUUUCUUAAGGGCAGAGUAUGUGAAGCAAAGCUGAGUGUAACCAGACUUCAAGACUUUGAUCUCUGUAGUGAUCAUAGAAAGUAUCACAUUGUUGUAAAGAAGUUUUGCCUUUAAAGUCUUGGAGCGGUUCUCAACUGUUUGUUUUGAUAAUAUAUAGACCCCCCAUUUUGCAAA